AAGUAAUGAAAUUUAAUCACGGAAAUGCUCAAACUUGAGAUUUCGUUCUUUAUAAAACACAAGGAAGCAUCCGUAUGGUUGCCACUUAGGGUAAAUGGCUUAAAGAAGCGUAAAGUGUUGGAAAGCGAGAACUAAAUAACGGCAGAUGACAAAAUGAGGCUGAAAUCGCAUCGAGAAACUGGUCACAUUGCACUGGACGACAAAUGGACUCAAUUGGAUUGCUACGAGGCAAACAUCAUAUUUUCAUGACUGCCUUACAACCAAGUGACAGCGACCAGGCAGGAGAAAAACUUCGCUAGCUGCCGCUGCGGCUGCUGGACGUUUGAAAUAAUAGUCGCGAGCGUGGAUGAAGAGUACUGGGAGGUACUGCGGCUCGCCAGCACCAGCGUCUGGAGCAGGCCAAGCGUGGAGCUACGGCGUGUCCGACUACGCGAAAGCCGUGCCAGGAGUAUGCCGCGAAUACUUCACGGAGCACAGUGCGAGCUAUCUAUUAUCUCUAUCAUCCUUCACCUAAAGAUAAGACUUUAUUUUAAUGAAUUUCAAAUAAUGUCCACAAUUAAGAGAGUCACUCGGUUACUUCGUUACAAAAAAAAACCGAUUCCUAGACUUGGGUAGGGUCAGCUUGAAGCACCGUCGCCGUCGCGCAACUGCAGAAAAUCUUCGCACAAUAGUUUCGUCCAGUGUGUGGGAUGCGCCUGCAGGUCGGUAAUGAUCUCGUCUAGCAUAGCGACCAAUAUCUCCAAUCUGUAGUCGUCCAACACAUCAUAACAAUACAACUGCAGGCGAUUGGGCAUUGGGAAUUAGCUCAUUAAUUAUCAGGAUAAAAGUGUGUUCCUUACAAUAUUUGGAAAUAUCCUGGCGAUAGCAAUGAAAACAUUCCGCAUCAUCAGAGUUCCACUUGCCAAUGGAGCUCUCGUUGGGCUGCUCGGAUUUACGAACCACAACAGUUUUAUAUGGUAUGCUCCCAGCGCUCUCGCUUUGGCUUACAUCUCUCUCAUUAUGUCUAGGGAUCGCAUACACACAUACAUUAAAACGGUCCCUAGACAUAAUGAGGGGCAGUUUCCUGUAGUGGGAGCGAGAUAAAAGACAGCAAUGCUGAUCUAUCGUACAAAUCAUUUGUAUUUUUUACUAUCUUGAUGUAUGAGCAUGAGAGCGUGUCUCGGACCCAAACAAAAACAAAAACUACUAAAUAUUUGAAACUAAGAGAGAGAGAGAACAGCCUCUUUAAAGUGAUAAUGACGACGGAGGAGUAGGCUCUACAGGUGGAAGGGCGGCAAUGGGCGACGCGCUUUAAUUUAGCUAAAGUUGUUAUUAUUGCGA